rnacentral:rRNA from 1 species
GACGAACGCUGGCGGCGUGCUUAACACAUGCAAGUCGAACGGAAAGGCCCUGCUUUUGUGGGGUGCUCGAGUGGCGAACGGGUGAGUAACACGUGAGUAACCUGCCCUUGACUUUGGGAUAACUUCAGGAAACUGGGGCUAAUACCGGAUAGGAGCUCCUGCUGCAUGGUGGGGGUUGGAAAGUUUCGGCGGUUGGGGAUGGACUCGCGGCUUAUCAGCUUGUUGGUGGGGUAGUGGCUUACCAAGGCUUUGACGGGUAGCCGGCCUGAGAGGGUGACCGGCCAAAUUGGGACUGGGAUACGGCCCAGAUUCCUACGGGAGGCAGCAGUGGGGAAUAUUGCACAAGGGGCGGAAGCCUGAUGCAGCAACGCCGCGUGCGGGAUGACGGCCUUCGGGUUGUAAACCGCUUUCGCCUGUGACGAAGCGUGAGUGACGGUAAUGGGUAAAGAAGCACCGGCUAACUACGU